AGUAGCUGAAUUGUGCAUGACAACUUGACAUCCGUGCGGCACUCGCCACUUGCCACUGCAUAUUAUUUUCUUGUCCACUAACAAUGUCUCUCCUCUGCCCCCUGUGUGUCCACGGCCCUGUUGCUGAAUUGGCCCGAUGAAUCGAAUGUCUUCCGCAACUGGAACGGCCCAGUAAACGAUGUCGCGUCGGCGACUGAAUGCGCUGGAGGGAAAAUAUUGCUGCGAAGACGUUUCCUCUAGACGACGGUAUAUCAUCCCGUGACGACCACAUUGAAGUCUGAAUUUGAAGUGUGAAGAUGCUUCAGCAACCGCAUCGUACUUUUCCAUUGCUUUCAUUGUGCUUCUACUGUGCAUGUGUGUAACUUGUGGGGUAAACAUGUGAUGACAUUGUAUGCUGGCGACACGGUCAGAUGUUGUCCAUGCGUCUAACGUACACGUGCAUGUUAUGCAUUGAAAAGGAUUUGCCACUUGCGAUCCUGGGACGAGUAUCAGGUCAGCUUUGUCCUGUCUGGGCUGUAUCAGAUUGCUGUUCACUUCUCUAUCUGUUGGAUGUGUGACUUUCUGCAAGUUUCUGGUGUAUGAUGGCCACUUCCUUUCUUGUCACUUUGUAUGAUAUUACAUUCUGUAUUCGCUGCUUCCAUGGCGUGGUCUGCAAACUGCAAUCCUUGGGCAAAUGUCAUGUUUGCUAUGUUGUGCUUUGGCCGUCAGCUUGUCUACACGCUGUAGUUGAAUUAUUUUUGUUUCACAACUGACUUCCUCAAGUACGGUGGCCACUGCUUUGCAUGGCAUUAUA